CACGGGUGAGAAGUUAGCCAACCAUCCGGCUGGUAUGUGCAACCCGGGUGGUGGUUGACUUCUUUCUCGUUACGUCUCAAUA
rnacentral:pre_miRNA from 1 species